ensembl:lncRNA
CCCCUCUCUCCCUGGCCUGUCUCCCCCUGUCUGGUACAGGUACCUUCACCACACUCACCCCUCUCUCCCUGGCCUGUCUCCCCCUGUCUGGUACAGGUACCUUCACCACACUCACCCCUCUCUCCCUGGCCUGUCUCCCCCUGUCUGGUACAGGUACCUUCACCACACUCACCCCUCUCUCCCUGGCCUGUCUCCCCCUGUCUGGUACAGGUACCUCCACCACACUCUCUGUUCAUCGUCUGCCCUGGCCUGUCUCCUCCUGUCUGGUACAGGUACCUCCACCACACUCUCGGUUCUCCGUCUGCCGUGGCCUGUCUCCCCCUGUCUGGUACAGGUACCUCCACCACACUCUCCCCUCUCUGUUCACUGUCUGACCUGUUUGUCUCCCCCUGUCUGGUACAGGUACCUUCACCACACUCACCCCUCUCUCCCUGGCCUGUCUCCCCCUGUCUGGUACAGGUACCUCCACCACACUCUCCCCUCUCUGUUCACCGUCUGCCCUGGUCUGUCUCCCCCUGUCUGGUACAGGUACCCCCACCACACUCUCCCAUCUCUGUUCACCGUCUGCCCUGGUCUGUCUCCCCCUGUCUGGUACCGGUACCCCCACCACAGUCACCUCUCUCUGUUCACCGUCUGCCCUGGCCCGUCUCCCCCUGUCUGGUACAGGUGCCUCCACUACACUCUCCCCUCUCUCCCU